GACGAACGCUGGCGGCGUGCUUAACACAUGCAAGUCGUACGGUAAGGCCCUUUCGGGGGUCCACGAGUGGCGAACGGGUGAGUAACACGUGAGUAACCUGCCCACAACUUUGGGAUAACGCUAGGAAACUGGUGCUAAUACUGGAUAUGUGCUCCUGCUGCAUGGUGGGGGUUGGAAAGCUCCGGCGGUUGUGGAUGGACUCGCGGCCUAUCAGCUUGUUGGUGGGGUAGUGGCCUACCAAGGCGGCGACGGGUAGCCGGCCUGAGAGGGUGACCGGCCACAUUGGGACUGAGAUACGGCCCAGACUCCUACGGGAGGCAGCAGUGGGGAAUAUUGCACAAUGGGCGCAAGCCUGAUGCAGCAACGCCGCGUGCGGGAUGACGGCCUUCGGGUUGUAAACCGCUUUCAGCAGGGACGAAGCUUUUUGUGACGGUACCUGCAGAAGAAGCACCGGCUAACUUCGUG
rnacentral:rRNA from 1 species